rnacentral:rRNA from 1 species
CGCCCCGGGCGCCAUCGCGUGCCCCGGAACCAGGCGCCCGCCGGGGGACUCAAACUCUUGUUUUCACCCCAGUGGCAUUAUCUGAGUGGGCUUUAAGCAAACAAAUGAAUCAAAAGCUCAACAACGGAUCUCUUGGUUAAGGCAUGGAGGAAGAACGCAGGGAAAUGGGAUAAGUAAUGCGAAUAGCUGAACACAGCGCAUCAUUGAAUCCUUGAACGCACAUUGCGCCCGCCAGUAUUAACCAGGGCAUGCCUGUGUGAGCGUCAUUUCAACCCUCCCCGCGGCAUUCGUGUCGGGGGGCUGUUGGGGAUCGACGACCGCCCAACGGCGGACGUCGUCCCCUAAAGCCAGUGGCAGCCUCGCCGCGGCCUCCUCGCGCAGUAAUUACUUCUCGCGGGCGGAGCCACAGUGACGGAUCGCCGUAAAACCCCCAACUCUUCAAUGGUUGACCUCAGAUCAGGUAGGAAUACCCGCUGAACUUAAGCAUAUCAAUAAGCGGAGGA